rnacentral:rRNA from 1 species
UACGUAGGGUGCAAGCGUUUAAUCGGAAUUACUGGCGUAAAGCGUGCGCAGGCGGCUUUGCAAGACAGAUGUGAAAUCCCCGGGCUCAACCUGGAACUGCAUUGUGACUGCAUGCUAGAGUACGGUAGAGGGGGGGGAUGGAAUUCCGCGUGUAGCAGUGAAAUGCGUAGAUAUGCGGAGGAACACCGAUGGCGAAGCAAUCCCUGGACCUGUACUGACGCUCAUGCACGAAGCGUGGGAGCAACAG